rnacentral:rRNA from 1 species
UACGUAGGUGGCGAGCGUUGUCCGGAUUUACUGGGCGUAAAGAGCGCGCAGGCGGCUGGUCAAGUCCGAUGUGAAAGCUCCCGGCUUAACUGGGAAAUUGCAUCGGAAACUGAUCGGCUGGAAGGUGGGAGAGGGUAGCGGAAUUCCCGGUGUAGUGGUGAAAUGCGUAGAUAUCUGGAGGAACACCUGUGGCGAAGGCGGCUAUCUGGUCCAAUUCUGACGCUGAGGCGCGAAAGCUAGGGGAGCAAACAGG